rnacentral:misc_RNA from 1 species
GAUGAAGAACGUAGCGAAAUGCGAUACGUAAUGUGAAUUGCAAAUUCAGUGAAUCAUCGAAUCUUUGAACGCACAUUGCGCCCGCCAGUAUUCUGGCGGGCAUGCCUGUUCGAGCGUCAUUUCAACCAUCAAGCCCCCGGCUUGUGUUGGGGACCUGCGGCUGCCGCAGGCCCUGAAAACCAGUGGCGGGCUCGCUAGUCACUCCGAGCGUAGUAAUACAUCUCGCUCAGGGCGUGCUGCGGGUUCCGGCCGUUAAAAAGCCUUAUUUACCCAAGGUUGACCUCGGAUCAGGUAGGAAGACCCGCUGAACUUAAGCAUAUCAAUAAGCGGAGGA